UACGUAGGUCCCGAGCGUUGUCCGGAUUUAUUGGGCGUAAAGCGAGCGCAGGUGGUUUAUUAAGUCUGGUGUAAAAGGCAGUGGCUCAACCAUUGUAUGCAUUGGAAACUGGUAGACUUGAGUGCAGGAGAGGAGAGUGGAAUUCCAUGUGUAGCGGUGAAGUGCGUAGAUAUAUGGAGGAACACCGGUGGCGAAAGCGGCUCUCUGGCCUGUAACUGACACUGAGGCUCGAAAGCGUGGGGAGCAAACGGG
rnacentral:rRNA from 1 species